GACGAACGCUGGCGGCGUGCUUAACACAUGCAAGUCGAACGGAAAGGCCCUGCUCUUGUGGGGUGCUCGAGUGGCGAACGGGUGAGUAACACGUGAGUAACCUGCCCUUGACUUUGGGAUAACUUCAGGAAACUGGGGCUAAUACCGGAUAGGAGCUCCUGCUGCAUGGUGGGGGUUGGAAAGUUUCGGCGGUUGGGGAUGGACUCGCGGCUUAUCAGCUUGUUGGUGGGGUAGUGGCUUACCAAGGCUUUGACGGGUAGCCGGCCUGAGCAGGUGACCGGCCACAUUGGGACUGAGGUACGGCCCAGGCUCCUACGGGAGGCAGCAGUGGGGAAUAUUGCACAAUGGGCGGAAGCCUGAUGCAGCAGCGCCGCGUGCGGGAUGACGGCCUUCGGGUUGUAAACCGCUUUCGCCUGUGACGAAGCGUGAGUGACGGUAAUGGGUAAAGAAGCACCGGCUAACUACGUG
rnacentral:rRNA from 1 species